GACGAACGCUGGCGGCGUGCUUAACACAUGCAAGUCGAACGGAAAGGCCCUGCUUUUGUGGGGUGCUCGAGUGGCGAACGGGUGAGUAACACGUGAGUAACCUGCCCUUGACUUUGGGAUAACUUCAGGAAACUGGGGCUAAUACCGGAUAGGAGCUCCUGCUGCAUGGAGGGGGUUGGAAAGUUUCGGCGGUUGGGGAUGGACUCGCGGCUUAUCAGCUUGUUGGUGGGGUAGUGGCUUACCAAGGCUUUGACGGGUAGCCGGCCUGAGAGGGUGACCGGCCACAUUGGGACUGAGAUACGGCCCAGACUCCUACGGGAGGCAGCAGUGGGGAAUAUUGCACAAUGGGCGGAAGCCUGAUGCAGCAACGCCGCGUGCGGGAUGACGGCCUUCGGGUUGUAAACCGCGUUCGCCUGUGACGAAGCGUGAGUGACGGUAAUGGGUAAAGAAGCACCGGCUAACUACGUG
rnacentral:rRNA from 1 species